rnacentral:rRNA from 1 species
AUUGAACGCUGGCGGCAGGCCUAACACAUGCAAGUCGAACGAGUGGCGGACGGGUGAGUAAUGUCAGGGAAACUGCCUGAUGGAGGGGGAUAACUACUGGAAACGGUCGCUAAUACCGCAUCCCAUAAGAUGUGCCCAGAUGGGAUUAGCUUGUUGGUGGUUGAACGGCUCACCAAGGCGACGAUCCCUAGCUGGUCUGAGAGGAUGACUAUCCACCCUGGAACUGAGACACGGUCCAGACGCCUACGUGAGGGAGCAUUGGGUAAUAUUGCACAAUGGGCGCAAGCCUUAUGCAGCCAUGCCGCGUGUAUGAAGAAGGCCUUCGGGUUGUAAAGUACUUUCAGCGGGGAGGCGUUACCCGCAGAAGAAGCACCGGCUAACUCCGUGCCAGCAGCCGCGGUAAUAC